rnacentral:ncRNA from 1 species
UAGGUAUAAAGGCAAAGCAGGUGAAAAUCUGUGACGCAAAACUAUAGGGCCUGUUACAUGGCAGCCAGCUGCAACG